UGUUUCUGUACAUGCUUAUCGGAGAUCUUCAGAAUGGAGCAGGACAUCUGCUCAGGGAAUUAAUUCAGAAUUGAGUGUUCUCUCCAAAAGAAAAUUCGGUAUAGGUGGAGAGGCCCUCGCGUCGCCCGGGCAGGCGACUCGGGGGCGACUAGGGUUUGCCUCCUGCCGCCACCUUCCCCAUCCACCUCCCCCCUUGCUGCCACCCAAGACGGCCGUCGGACAAGCCCGUGCGGGUGCCGGUGAUGGUGGCGGCAGGGAUCUAGUCGCUCUACCCCUUGGUGGAAGACUGCGGAUCCUAGGCGCGCGCGGGAGGUAAAGCUGGUCGGAGGCUUGGCCGUGAGGGCGGUGAGCCACCGGCGGGAGUUGGUCGCCACGCAGUGCUACCCUGCGUCAGAUCUGGAGGUCCCGGUUGGUACUGCCAGCAGCCUUGCCGGUCCAAGCAAUCAAGAUCAUCAGCAAGUCAAUAACGGAGACGGUCGAGCACUGUCAUCACACUGAACCUGCAACACCAGUGAGAUGACUGAAGAUUGGGUUGUGGUUGGAGUGAGAGGAGAAGCAAAUCACUUGACCAGUUGAAUCCUUGGGUGUACAAGACGGCCGAGCUGUGACAGGUGAAGGAGCCACUGCCGCUGCCCGCGCCGAAGAAGCGCAACUGCUCCAUGGUGUUCACCCUCAAGGAGAUGGAGGAGGCCACCGGCAUGUUCAGGAGAACUUCCUCUUUGGUUCGAUACACAUAUAUUAUUUAACUGUGAUUUAGAGUUAUGAUUAUUUGAUGUGGCGAACAUAGAAUCCUGCCUGCGCAUUUCUGUGAUUAUUUUGUACCCUGAAUUCAAGUAAAUUAAGUUGCCUGUACCAAGUUGAGUAUUUAGUUCGAUGAGUAAUUUUCUGUCUGGAGAUGAUGAGCAGAGCAUAAAAAUGAUUGCUUAUCUGUAUACUGUUGUUGCUGUAGUUUAAAAGGCUUAAGAUCUUCUACUCACAUGCUUGUUUAUCUCACAUCUCUGAGCCAAAGUUAUCUCACAUGCUUGUUUAUUCAAUAUUUUUCUGACAUACGCGUAAUACAGAUGGCGUGCCCAAAGUGAAAUCUGACCGGAGACUUUGAAAGAUCAGAGGAGGGCUUAAGGACCUGCAGUAUCAUGGUGAUUUCAUAUCAAAAUCGAGGAGUACUCCUGUUCAUUUGGAGAACUCAAACAGCAAUUGAUAUGCAUCAAAAUUGGGAUCAACAGUAGCAUGGGGCCUUAUCAUUCUGGUUUUUGGAUGACUUAGUUAAUCAAAUUCCUCAAUUGAGGAACACCUGAACUUGUCAUUCCGGUCUUGGGAUCAACAGUAGCAUAUGGACUUAUCAUUCUGGCUUUUGGAUGAUUUAGUUAAUCAAAUUGACAUCAAUUGACCUGUUUUUUGGAUCAAUUGCAGAUUCUCUUGAUUGGAGUGGAGAGGAGCAGAGACGAGAGGAGCAGCAGAAGUGGACAGCGCAACGGCUGACUUUGAGCUCUUGAUUGGAGUGGGGGAGGCGGCCGACGAAGGAUCUGUGGCCAGCAGCGAAGGAUCCGAAGUUGUGGCGGAGCAGGCAGCCGGCGGGAAGGGCGGCCGGCGAGGGAGCUGCGGACCUUGGCGUGGAAGGGCGGCCGAUGAGGGAGCUGCGGACCGCGGCGGGGAAGGACGCCGGAUGAGCCCGGCGAAAGGGAGCAGCGACGGCGGAGAAGCCUGGCGUAGGGGAGGAGCGACGGAGGAAGACGCCUCCCGAUGGAUUUCAAAUCGGGGGUAGUAUUGUACUUUCACACUAUUUCACCUGGUCGGAGUGAUGCCCCCAACGACAAUUAUUUCGGAACGGAGGGAGUAAUACAAAGGAUGUUGUUCUCCUAGAAAUAGCACGCCAAGUUAGCACUACAUAACAACCACUACUAUUUGCUGAUCAACCAGAAUAUACACGGAUGGAAAACUACUUGA